GAUGAACGCUGGCGGCGUGCCUAAUAUAUGCAAGUCGAGCGAACAGAUGAGGAGCUUGCUCCUCUGACGUUAGCGGCGGACGGGUGAGUAACACGUGGAUAACCUACCUACAAGACUGGGAUAACUUCGGGAAACCGGAGCUAAUACCGGAUAAUAUAUUGAACCGCAUGGUUCAAUAGUGAAAGACGGUUUUGCUGUCACUUAUAGAUGGAUCCGCGCCGCAUUAGCUAGUUGGUAAGGUAACGGCUUACCAAGGCAACGAUGCGUAGCCGACCUGAGAGGGUGAUCGGCCACACUGGAACUGAGACACGGUCCAGACUCCUACGGGAGGCAGCAGUAGGGAAUCUUCCGCAAUGGGCGAAAGCCUGACGGAGCAACGCCGCGUGAGUGAUGAAGGUCUUCGGAUCGUAAAACUCUGUUAUUAGGGAAGAACAAAUGUGUAAGUAACUAUGCACGUCUUGACGGUACCUAAUCAGAAAGCCACGGCUAACUACGUG
rnacentral:rRNA from 1 species